UACGUAGGUGGCAAGCGUUGUCCGGAAUUAUUGGGCGUAAAGCGCGCGCAGGCGGUUCUUUAAGUCUGAUGUGAAAGCCCACGGCUCAACCGUGGAGGGUCAUUGGAAACUGGAGAACUUGAGUACAGAAGAGGAAAGCGGAAUUCCACGUGUAGCGGUGAAAUGCGUGGAGAUGUGGAGGAACACCAGUGGCGAAGGCGACUCUUUGGUCUGUAACUGACGCUGAGGCGCGAAAGCGUGGGGAGCAAACAGG
rnacentral:rRNA from 1 species